rnacentral:rRNA from 1 species
CCUACGGGGGGCAGCAGUGAGGAAUAUUGGUCAAUGGUCGGGAGACUGAACCAGCCAAGCCGCGUGAGGGAUGAAGGUACAGAGUAUCGUAAACCUCUUUUGUCAGGGAACAAAGGCGGGGACUUGUCCCCGGAUGAGUGUACCUGAAGAAAAAGCAUCGGCUAACUCCGUGCCAGCAGCCGCGGUAAUACGGAGGAUGCGAGCGUUAUCCGGAUUUAUUGGGUUUAAAGGGUGCGCAGGCGGACUGUUAAGUCAGCGGUAAAAGCCCGGGGCUCAACCCCGGCCCGCCGUUGAAACUGGCAGUCUCGAGUUGGAGAGAAGUAUGCGGAAUGCGCGGUGUAGCGGUGAAAUGCAUAGAUAUCGCGCAGAACUCCGAUUGCGAAGGCAGCAUGCCGGCUCCACACUGACGCUGAGGCACGAAAGCGUGGGUAUCGAACAGGAUUAGAUACCCUUGUAGUC